rnacentral:rRNA from 1 species
UAGGGAAUCUUCCGCAAUGGACGCAAGUCUGACGGAGCAACGCCGCGUGAGUGAAGAAGGAUUUCGGUUCGUAAAACUCUGUUGUUAGAGAAGAACAGCGCAUAGAGUAACUGUUAUGCGUGUGACGGUAUCUAACCAGAAAGCCACGGCUAACUACGUGCCAGCAGCCGCGGUAAUACGUAGGUGGCAAGCGUUGUCCGGAUUUAUUGGGCGUAAAGCGAGCGCAGGCGGUAAAUUAAGUCUGAUGUGAAAGCCCCCGGCUCAACCGGGGAGGGUCAUUUGAAACUGGUUGACUUGAGUGCAGAAGGGGAGAGUGGAAUUCCAUGUGUGACAGUGAAAUACGUAGAUAUAUGGAGGAACACCAGUGGCGAAGGCGACUCUCUGGUCUGUAACUGACGCUGAGGCUCGAAAGCGUGGGUAGCAAACAGG